rnacentral:tRNA from 5 species
GCCGUGGUGGUGGAAUUGGUAGACACGCCAUCUUGAGGGGGUGGUGAGCUAUGCUCGUGCGGGUUCAAGUCCCGCUCACGGCACCA